UGGCGGCGUGCCUAACACAUGCAAGUCGAGCGGUAACAGGUGUAGCAAUACAUGCUGACGAGCGGCGAACGGGUGAGUAAUGUUUCGGAAUCUGCCCAAUGGUGGGGAAUAACCAGCCGAAAGGUUGGCUAAUACCGCAUAAGCCCUACGGGGGAAAGCGGGGGAUCGCAAGACCUCGCGCCGAUGGAUGAGCCGAAACCGGAUUAGCUAGUUGGUAGGGUAACGGCCUACCAAGGCGACGAUCCGUAGCUGGUCUGAGAGGACGACCAGCCACACUGGGACUGAGACACGGCCCAGACUCCUACGGGAGGCAGCAGUGGGGAAUAUUGGACAAUGGGGGAAACCCUGAUCCAGCGACGCCGCGUGUGUGAAGAAGGCCUGCGGGUUGUAAAGCACUUUUAGUGGGGAUGAAAAGCUCAGGGCUAAUACCGCUGAGUCUUGACCUAACCCAGAGAAAAAGCACCGGCUAACUCUGUGCCAGCAGCCGCGGUAAUACAGAGGGUGCAAGCGUUAAUCGGAAUUACUGGGCGUAAAGCGUGCGUAGACGGUUAUGUAAGUCGGGUGUGAAAGCCCCGGGCUCAACCUGGGAAUUGCAUUCGUGACUG
rnacentral:rRNA from 1 species